rnacentral:rRNA from 1 species
ACGGCUCAGUAACACGUAGUCAACUGCCCUCGGGUCGAGAAUAAUCUCGGGAAACUGAGGCUAAUGAACGAUAGGUCAAGAUUCCUGGAAUGGGUUUUGGUCUAAACGGCGUGACAGCAUCUUGUCAUGUCCGCCCGAGGAUGGGACUGCGGCCGAUCAGGCUGUUGGUGGGGUAAAGGCCCACCAAACCAGUAACCGGUACGGGCUUUGAGAGAAGGAGCCCGGAGAUGGACACUGAGACAAGGGUCCAGGUCCUACGGGGCGCAGCAGGCGCGAAACCUUCGCAAUGCGCGCAAGCGCGACGAGGUUAUUCCGAGUGAUUUCCGCUGAGGAAAUCUUUUCUUAGAUCUAAAAAGUCUGGGGAAUAAGGGGAGGGCAAGUCUGGUGUCAGCCGCCGCGGUAAUACCAGCUCCUCGAGUGGUCAGGGCGUUUAUUGGGCCUAAAGCAUCCGUAGCCUGCUUGGUAGGUCUCCUGUUAAAUCCAACGACUCAAUCGUUGGUCUGCAGGAGAUACCGCUAGGCUAGGAGGCGGGAGAGGCGGACGGUACUCCGAGGGUAGGGGUAAAAUCCUUUGAUCCCCGGAAGACCACCAGUGGCGAAGGCGGUCCGCCAGAACGCGCUCGACGGUGAGGGAUGAAAGCUGGGGGAGCGAACCGGAUUAGAUACCCGGGUAGUCCCAGCUGUAAACGAUGCGAGCUAGGUGACACGAUGCCUUCGGGGCAUCGUGGUGCCGCAGGGAAGCCGUUAAGCUCGCCGCCUGGGGAGUACGGACGCAAGUCUGAAACUUAAAGGAAUUGGCGGGGGAG